rnacentral:lncRNA from 1 species
GCAUUAUUGUUCCUGAAGCAUGUAUGGACAUCUUCUGUAACAUGGCCCCAUGCUGCAAAAGAUAUCUUACGAUCUCAAACUCGUGUUGCUACCAAGAGAAAUUUUUUAUUUCAACUUCCCUAAGGCGUUGACUUAAUCACAGUGGUUUCUCUUUAGCACCAGGGUAAAGGUCUAUGAUAGGGAUUCUUUCAUCUUCACCCUGCUUUAAAAGAAAAAGAAAAAACAAAGAGAAAACUUGACAAUCAAAUCUACGGCUUUGUCUCUUAAUCAGUCUAAAAAAGAAAAGCCACAACCAUCAUAUCUUUUCCUUUCGAAGAAUCUUAGUUCAAAUCCUAACUCACCAUGUAACAAACUAGCAUUUCCAAAUGUGGUGCACUCUUUUAGUAGAAUCUCUUAAUUUUCCCAAGUAUCUACUCUACACCUACUCUAAUCUGUUAGCAGAGGGCCCAAUUGGAUUUACAGGAGAAUCGACUGAGACUGAACUACUAUCAAAACAGAUUGAUGCACUACGUAUCCGUAUGGAUUUAGAGAAAAUCACCUAAAAUGACAAGUCACGUACAGUGGGAGAUAAAAUUUAAACUUUUGACCUCCGAACCAUACCAAACCUUAAAAGGCUUUGGUUAUGGCCAACAACCCAAAUGAUUGAUGGUUAGGUAACAAAUUAUCGGACUACUAGACAGAAACUUCACGUCAUAGGGAAAGCAAAGGUCAUUCAACACUUCAAUAAAUUUGUACCAUAAGCUAUGAAAUCCUGAAAGUGCCAGUGAAUUAAAGAUAUCCAAAGUCAAAAGACAUUACCUCCAAAGAAAUCCCAGAUAAACGAAGAGAUUUUAUCUAUUGGACAUUUCAUUACUAAGUUGGCAAAACUUGUUCCCAAAUUCCAAAGACAUAUUAGCUUUUACCAAAGACUUGAGCUUGCACUCCGAGCGAUUACAGGAAUUGCAUCACAUAUAUGCGAAUACUCAAAGACUGGGGGUAUUAAGAGCAAGCCUAUCGGAUUCCGAACAUGUAUGCCACACUUGUCGGAGGGGAGGAGAAACCACAAGCCCUAGUUCCGGUGAUAGUGAAAGUGGUGUUUCUUCAAAUUUAGGGAGAGGGGAAAGGACUUUGAAG